GGGCAGGUGGGUGGUCACGUUGAUUACAUAGCCUAUGUUCAUCCUCUGCAUUUUCUCCAAGUCCUGAGCAUCAUGCUCAUUUCCGAGGAAGAGGAAGGGCAGGAUGGGGGUGAGCUCGGCAUUCUCGAUGUCCGGCGUGGUGGGGAUGGACUGAGGUAGUGUGGGGGGCACUGCGGACGCACCGCCGCCUCCCCCCUCCGGGCACUCUUGCAGCUGGAGGGAGUUAUCACAGAGGUUUUCGUGGUUCUGCUUGAAACCGCUGAGUCCUCCUUUUAGGACUAGGGGUUCCUUGCCUU
rnacentral:lncRNA from 1 species